rnacentral:rRNA from 1 species
UCGGGAAUUUUGGGCAAUGGGCGGAAGCCUGACCCAGCAACGCCGCGUGAAGGAUGAAGUAUUUCGGUAUGUAAACUUCGAAAGAAUAGGAAGAAUAAAUGACGGUACUAUUUAUAAGGUCCGGCUAACUACGUGCCAGCAGCCGCGGUAAUACGUAGGGACCAAGCGUUGUUCGGAUUUACUGGGCGUAAAGGGCGCGUAGGCGGCAAUUCAAGUCAUCUGUGAAAUCUCCGGGCUUAACUCGGAACGGUCAGAUGAUACUGCUUUGCUAGAGUGCAGAAGGGGCAAUCGGAAUUCUUGGUGUAGCGGUGAAAUGCGUAGAUAUCAAGAGGAACACCUGAGGUGAAGACGGGUUGCUGGGCUGACACUGACGCUGAGGCGCGAAAGCCAGGGGAGCAAACGGGAUUAGAUACCCCCGUAGUCCCUGAGCGGGCUGGCAAGGCGCAU